rnacentral:rRNA from 1 species
GAUGAACGCUGGCGGCGUGCCUAAUACAUGCAAGUCGAGCGAAUGGAUUAAGAGCUUGCUCUUAUGAAGUUAGCGGCGGACGGGUGAGUAACACGUGGGUAACCUGCCCAUAAGACUGGGAUAACUCCGGGAAACCGGGGCUAAUACCGGAUAACAUUUUGAACCGCAUGGUUCGAAAUUGAAAGGCGGCUUCGGCUGUCACUUAUGGAUGGACACGCGUGGCAUUAGCUAGUUGGUGAGGUAACGGCUCACCAAGGCAACGAUGCGUAGCCGACCUGAGAGGGUGGUCGGCCACACUGGGGCUGCGACACGGCCCAGACUCCUACGGGAGGCAGCAGUAGGGAAUCUUCCGCAAUGGACGAAAGUCUGACGGAGCAACGCCGCGUGAGUGAUGAAGGCUUUCGGGUCGUAAAACUCUGUUGUUAGGGAAGAACAAGUGCUAGUUGAAUAAGCUGGCACCUUGACGGUACCUAACCAGAAAGCCACGGCUAACUACGUGCCAGCAGCCGCGGUAA